AUUGAACGCUGGCGGCAGGCCUAACACAUGCAAGUCGAGCGGUUGAAGGGAGCUUGCUCCCUGAUUCAGCGGCGGACGGGUGAGUAAUGCCUGGGAAUCUGCCUAUUAGUGGGGGACAACGUUUCGAAAGGAACGCUAAUACCGCAUACGUCCUACGGGAGAAAGCAGGGGACCUUCGGGCCUUGCGCUAAUAGAUGAGCCUAGGUCGGAUUAGCUAGUUGGUGAGGUAAUGGCUCACCAAGGCGACGAUCCGUAACUGGUCUGAGAGGAUGAUCAGUCACACUGGAACUGAGACACGGUCCAGACUCCUACGGGAGGCAGCAGUGGGGAAUAUUGGACAAUGGGCGAAAGCCUGAUCCAGCCAUGCCGCGUGUGUGAAGAAGGUCUUCGGAUUGUAAAGCACUUUAAGUUGGGAGGAAGGGCAGUAAGUUAAUACCUUGCUGUUUUGACGUUACCGACAGAAUAAGCACCGGCUAACUCUGUGCCAGCCGCCGCCGUAACAC
rnacentral:rRNA from 1 species